rnacentral:lncRNA from 1 species
AUGCUGAGCUGGAAUUCUGGACGAGAUCACCUGAUGCCUGAGUUUCUGGGGCUGCUUCCCCCUCUCCAGGUGAAUCUAGAAAUGGAAUUGCCUAAGGAUUUGGCAGAAGGUGAAAAAGAAGAGCUAAAGAGGAGCAUAGAAGGAGACACUUGGCCUUUGUGUCCAGAGGUAAUCUUGUUCGUUUUUUCCAAGGUCUGCAAUUGUGCCAUUGGUGCCAACCACUGUCUGCUGCACACAGUGGGACUCCUCCAGGCCCCCCACCUGUGGCCUUUCUGGGAGACUCCCAAGGGCUGCAAUGGGGCCUAUGGCCAUAAAGUUGGCUCUCGAGAGCCGUAA